CCAUUUAAGAGCUGGCUACCAGUGGGGAAGGAUCUCUUCUGGAGAUCCACUCUGCUAGAGUUCCAUAAGCAAGCCUGGGAUACAGGCCAAUGUUAAAAGAACAGUGUGAUCAUGCCACUUGGCACCUGCUUGUGAUCAGUUCUGAGGUUUGGAGUGCAUGGAGUAGAGUAGGAGCACAGGACUUAAGAGAUCUUCUGAAUUACCCAGCUACCUCAGUUAGUGCCUCCCACUCCCAGGCUUCAUACUGGAGAACCCUUUACCAGAAGCAGAGUAAAUGACUCUGUAAUAAUGCUUUGCCUAUCUCCACAGCUGUAAUUGUCAUUCCAUCAGGGUUCUAAGAAAGCAGAACCAUCUGGGGAAAUCAGCACUGCUUCACUCAGUCUCUGCCGGAAUUAAAAUGAUCUGAUGUGAAGAUGAAGGAGAAAAAAAACUCCAAAAUACUUUACUGUGGGAAUUAAACAGGGCUGUUGACCAGUAUCUAUAGUCCAGUGUGAGAGAAAAAUUUUAUUUAAAUCCUGGAAUGUAAACUAGCGUUAUAAAAAAGGAAGGAGAGAAUUUGAUUCUAUUUUAAUAGAACAGAAAUUGCUGUCCUGAAAUUGUUGUGCAUGCAUACUCUAACAAAAGCCAAUGAAUUGUUCCUAGUUAUAAAGAUGCCAGGAUGAGGCUAGCAUGUAUUAGAAUCGGUGAAAAAAAUGCUAAUUCUCAUUCCUAAAAUAUGACUUCAUAUUCCCAGGAUUGACGAGAUGAAGGAUACGCAGUAAAUUAGUCCAACAUCCUCUUACCUCUAGGUCUGAACCCUGCUUAGAUCAUUGUUUGAAAUAAAUUACUGUCUUUAUCUGAAGCAUGUCUCCUCUGAAUAUUUAUUGGCACCACAAAACUGCUUUGGCAUCUGGCACAAGUUGACAUGAUUCACUGUCACUGUUCAAAGAGAGCAGGGAGCAAGUGAGACUUGAGUUCCUGUAAUGGCUGGAAGUCUGCACAGGGACUGCUAAACUCAUGUUACUUCUGUCAGGUCUGCGCUUUCAAAGCCAUGCAGGAAGCUAAUGAAAGAGGUUUGUGUAUAUGUGGGUGAGAGAAGAAUAACAAAGACAUUAGCGAGACAGUCCUUUAGAAUGAUCACCUAUCAAAUACAAUUCAGUGCUGAUGUCUUAAUUGCUGCUUGCUGCUUAUAAUUUAAAUUUAUCUCAUAAAAUUCUCUAUGCAAAGAACACGUUGGCUAAAUUAUCAAAUAAUAUGAGAUUAAAGUCACAUCAGGAAAUAUCAUUAAACGAAUAAUUCUCUGAGCACCAGGGCAAAUGAAGUGUGAUGUUUUAUGAAUUUGCAUCCACUGUCUUGACAGGACAGGAUUUAUUGAACUGUGACUUCUUCCUAUUAGGAUAUUUUUGUCAUUCCUUUGUUGAUCCCAGGGCACUUGAAAAU